rnacentral:tRNA from 1 species
CAGUAAAUAGUUUAUUAAAAUAUAAGUUUUGGGAAUUUAAGAUAGGAAAAAUUUUUCUUUUUACUGA